rnacentral:misc_RNA from 1 species
GAUGAAGAACGCAGCGAAAUGCGAUACGUAAUGUGAAUUGCAAAUUCAGUGAAUCAUCGAGUCUUUGAACGCACAUUGCGCCCCCUGGUAUUCCGGGGGGCAUGCCUGUCAGAGCGUCAUUGCUGCCCUCAAGCACGGCUUGUGUGUUGGGCCCCGUCCUCCGAUCCCGGGGGACGGGCCCGAAAGGCAGCGGCGGCACCGCGUCCGGUCCUCGAGCGUAUGGGGCUUUGUCACCCGCUCUGUAGGCCCGGCCGGCGCUUGCCGAUCAACCCAAAUUUUUAUCCAGGUUGACCUCGGAUCAGGUAGGGAUACCCGCUGAACUUAAGCAUAUCAAUAAGCGGAGGA